rnacentral:rRNA from 1 species
AUGGGUGUUGGGUCCAACAAUUCGCAUUGGUCUCAAACCAAUGACAUCCAUUUGGAAGACCAUGAGUUUGAGGUGGACGAGGAGGGUGAGGGCAUUGUUGACGCACCGAAAGGAAGAGCGGGCAAUUACAGCACCAGCGAUGACAAGUUACUAUGCAAUACUUAUUUGCAAGUGUCGAGGGAUCCAUCCAUUGGAGGUGAUCAAAGUAGAGCAUGGGUGGCGGCGGCAUGGGAGGCAUGGGUGGCGGCGCCAUGGGAGGCAUGGGUGGCUUGGGCGCCAUGGGAGGCAUGGGUGGCUUGGGCGCCAUGGGAAGCAUGGGUGCACCUCCGGCCGCCAUGGGAGGCAUGGGUGGCUUGGGCGCCAUGGGAGGCAUGGGUGCACCUCCGGCCGCCAUGGGAGGCAUGGGUGGCUUUGGAGCACCCUCUGACGCUAUGGCCGCCAUGGGAGGCAUGA